GCGACGUGCCUAAUGUAUGCAAGUCGAAUGCCGAUUUAUCGGCAUGGCAGACGGCUGAGUAACACAUGGGAAUCUACCUCAAACUCGAGAAUAGCCCAUCGAAAGGUGGUGUAAUACUCGAUAGUUCCGUUUACGGUAAAGCUCCGGCGGUUUGAGAUGAGCCCAUGUCCUAUCAGGUUGUUGGUGGGGUAAUUGCCUACCAAGCCUAUGACGGGUAGCUGGUUUGAGAGGAUGAUCAGCCAGACUGGGACUGCGAUACGGCCCAGACUCCUACGGGAGGCAGCAACUAGGAAUCAUGCGCAAUGGACGAAAGUCUGACGCUGCGACGUCGCGUGAGGGAUGAAGGUCUUAGGAUCGUAAACCUCUUUUAUCUGGGAACAAGUUCUGAGUGUACCAGAUGAAUAAGUGCCUGCCAACCACGUGCCAGAAGCAUCGGUAAUGCGUGGGGCACGAGCGUUAUCCGGAUUUACUGGGCGUAAAGAGAUGCGUAGGCGCCUUUUUAAGUCACUUGUAAAAUCUCCCCGCUCAACGGGGAAACUGCAAGUGAUACUGAAUUGGUUGAGUCAAGUAGAGGAGAGGGGAAUUCCUGGUGGAGCGGUUAAAUGCGUUGAUAUCAGGAGGAAUACCAAGUGCGAAGGCACCUCUCUGGACUUGUACUGACGCUAAGGCUCGAAAGUGUGGGGAGCAAAACGGAUUAGAUACCCGUGUAGUCCACACUGUAAACGAUCCCUGCUAGAUGUUUG
rnacentral:rRNA from 1 species